UUUGGACGUUGGAGAUCACACUGUGC
rnacentral:piRNA from 1 species